rnacentral:misc_RNA from 1 species
GAUGAAGAACGUAGCAAAAUGCGAUAAGUAAUGUGAAUCGCAGAAUUCAGUGAAUCAUCGAAUCUUUGAACGCACAUUGCGCCCGCCAGUAUUCUGGCGGGCAUGCCUGUUCGAGCGUCAUUUCAACCCUCAAGCACAGCUUGGUGUUGGGACUCGCGUUAAUUCGCGUUCCUCAAAUUGAUUGGCGGUCACGUCGAGCUUCCAUAGCGUAGUAGUAAAACCCUCGUUACUGGUAAUCGUCGCGGCCACGCCGUUAAACCCCAACUUCUGAAUGUUGACCUCGGAUCAGGUAGGAAUACCCGCUGAACUUAAGCAUAUCAAUAAGCGGAGGA